rnacentral:lncRNA from 1 species
ACAACCCAUUCAUUGGCAGAGUGUAUAAUCUUGUACAACUAUCUAUCUUUAAAACCUCCAAAGAAGUGAGUUUUCGAAGACCUUCCUCUGGCAAGCUUUCAAGUUCAUCAAAAUGCUGGAUACUAAAGCUUUUAAGAGCUGAAAGGUUGUCAAAUAAGGUAUUUGACAAAGACGGUAGAUUUCUCAUCCCACCCAUAUAUAAGGACUCGAGGAGUGUAUGAUUUUGCAAGAACCCAUCUGGAAGCAGCCUCACAUCAAUCCUUCCAAUAUAAAGGUAUGUGAUAGAAGUAAAUUUCAUAACUGACAUCAGUAACGAAACAUUGCCUCCAUCGAUGAGUAAGCUUUUGACGGAAGGUAUAAUUGGUAUUUCGGUCAACAAGGGGCAAAGAACUACAGAUAAUACUUUAAGACGAGGAAAACUACACGGAGCCCAUUGCUCUAGUCUCUUCAUUGAAAUAAAUGUCAGUCCCUCCAAAGAUGGGAAUGGAUUUUGCUCAUCUCCAUACACAUGGCUGUCAAUACACUUCACACCAUCCAUUCCACCUAGUUCAAGAUUCUUGAGGAACUGUAAUUUCCCAAAUGGUGGAAGUUGUUCACAGUUGCCACAUGCUUUUUAGCUUCAUCUCUACUAGAUUCGGUAGCAUCAAGUUCAAGUUCAUCAUCCACUUUGGAAAUUUUGAACCCCCAUAUCCAAUUAAUCUCAAUUUCUUCAGAUUUGAAUGAGGUUGAAGCCCAUCAAGGACAUCCUCAUUAUUUUCAGCUGAUUGCACACAAGUAAAAGGGUGACCUCCAUUCUUAUUCCAAGAUAAAUGCAGUGAUAGAAGAGUUGUCUUCAACUUCAAAUUGGCACUUCUGGCAUCUGUUAAAUUCUUAACAUUAACAAGAUCUGUGAUGCUUAGUUCACCAGCAAGAUUAUUCAGCCUUUCUAGCUCCCCUAAGUGACGACCAUCCUCCUUACCCACAAUGAACAGGCCAAGUUUUCGCAGGCAUGUUAAUUGCCCCAUUCCAAAUGGCAUAAAUCGAAGUGAAUAACAGCCCGUGAUGUCAAGAUAGAUGAGACUUUUCAUAUGCUUCAUACCUCUAGGUAAUUGGAUGAGCUGUGUACACUGACUCAGAUUUAGUGUCUGAAGAUUUUGGAGGGAGGUGGUUGAUGCAGGCAAUUUUUUAAUGUUGGAAUUGGAGACAUCUAGAAACCUUAGAUGUUUCAAAUAACAAAUUGACUUUGGCAAUGUAUUGAGAUAGAUACCUAUAUGCAAGGCUCUCAGAUGCUUUUGUUGGGUGAAAUAAAGAUGCAAAUCAUCACUCACAGUGUGAUGAUAAACUCCAGAAAGCAAAAUUGAGCGUAGUGACCGAGAUUUGAAAUCCUUGUCUUUUGGAACAAACUGUGAUGUCCUGUAUGCACCCACAUGACGAAUUGUUUUAGGAAUUUGCAACUUUGUAUUGCCCUCAAUCAAACAACAUUCUCUCUUCAUAAUGUACUGUGCAAGAUCAUGGAUAAGAUCGUGCAUUUUACAUGAUAUGUUGCCCAGCCCAUCAUCCAUGACUUCUUGAAAAAAAGACCUCCCAACUAAUUCGUGGAAAAUCUCUUCACCCUUAUCGUGCAAAUCCAUUUGCCCAAUGCACGAAAUGAAGCCAUUUGCCAUCCAUAGAGCUACCAACCGCUCCUUCCGAAUGACAUAAUCUUUGGGGAAUAUAGAGCAAAAUGCAAAGCAUUGCUUCACAGCUGGCUUUAGAUUCAUAUAACUCAAACUCAAGGCAGGUAAUAUCUGGCUUCCUUCAUUCGGCAGAUCCCAAAUCUCACUUUCUUUCACAGACAGCCACUCCCUUUCAAUUUUCUUCGAGCGCAUCAGGCUUCCGACUGCUCUUAUAGCCAACGGAACUCCGCUACACUUGUUAACUAUCGCUGCUCCAAUGUUUUCCAAGUGACCAUACUCCUCUCUCCUUCUCAUACCAAAUGCAAGCUGCUUAAAUAAAAGCCAGGAAUCCUCAUCCGACAAUGUUUCCAUAUGUUGAACAGGAUUUGUGGCCAUUUUUUCUGCCAUAGUUCCCAAACGAGUAGUCACAAUAACUGCACUUCCUUUAGCUCCACAACUCAAUGCAUCUUUCAACUUGCUCCAGUUAUCAUGGUCAUCAUCCCAAACAUCAUCCAAUAUGAGCAAAAACUUCGUACCACGUAACUUUUCUUGGAGGCAUCGUAGAAGAGCAUCCAACUGUUGAAUAUUUGGAGUAGUGCGUUGAAUGGACUCGAUGAUGGCUGUUGUCAAUCUUUUUAUGUUGAAAUCAACUGAUACGCACACCCAAAUCCGCAAAUCAAAAUGCCCUUCUAUUCUUCCGUCGUUGUAGACUAAUUGAGCAAGUGUUGUUUUACCCAAGCCCCCCAUUCCACAUAUAGCAUAAACAGAGAAAUCAUCUGAACUGGUGAGCAGCAUGUUGACCAGAUCUUCUUUCUCCUUGCCCCUUCCAUAAAUUUCUGAUUCAUUCACCCAUGACCAAGUCUGACGCCAAUCAAAACUAUCUGCUUCUAUCUCCAAAGCCCCUUCUAUUAAAUGGAAAUUGUGUCUCUCCUUGGCAAUGGCAUCUAGUUUUUCUCUAACAUUCUUCAAUUUAUGCACCAUUUUUUGUCGAAAAACAAGUGGAUUAUGAUUGAUAGAAAAGAAGGAACUAACUCGAUAUUUGAGAUCUCUUGGCUGCUGAUGCCACUGAGCUUCAAUUGCAAACUCAUCUAGCAAAUCAUCAGCGUCAUAAGCUGCAUCCUUGAUGUCUCUGAGCCACACCUUUAUAGGCUCACUCUUCCACUGCUUCUCCUCUGCAUCUUGCAGCACAGCUCGAAUAGUUCUGAACGUGCGGUUGAGAUUUUCAAGCUCGGUCUCUAGGCCCCCAGCAAGUCCAAGCUCUUGAAGAAUUGGGGAAUUCAAGUUCCCCAUGAUUGUACUCGCGACAGCAGAAAUAAUUGCAUCAGCCAUAGCUUGUUAUCGAAUGGAAAAUAAUUGGAUGUUGACAAGAAGUAGAAAAUGUGCAAGGAUAACCAAAAGCAGGGAUGAGGAAACAGAGCAGUGUGGGAUGAGAAAUGGCAAAGGUGAAAGUGUAUGGUGAUGAGCUUUUCUUCUACUAUCGAUCUCUUUUCAUUAGUGAUUGAUAAUGUGAUGGAUCCAUUUCAUUAUUAGUGAUCUCUUCGCUGCAGUUUCAGAGAAGGAACGUGGCUGUGUUUGCUUAUUGGUUAGUAAAAGUCUUCGUCCCGCACUGGCCAGGCCGCUUGGGCUCCACACGGAUAUUAAGUAAUAUUCUAAAAGUAGUUUCCCCGCGCCUUUUACUUAUUCUACUGUACACAUAACCCGCAAUGUUGCGGAUUACUUUUUUAUAAAAAAUAUUAAAAAAAUAAAAAUUUAAAAAUUUUGAGUUUUUCUGCAAAGCUAUACUAAAAAAUCUUGAGUUUAGCUGCAACACUUAAUCUAAGAGUAAUAUUUAUAAUGUUAAUAAUAAAAUUAAACUUGCAUGAUCCAAGUUUAAGUUAGUCUGGCUGCAACAUCGGACCCAAGAAUAUUGGAUGUGGGUCUGACUAUAAGAUCGUGUCAUAAAAAUAUGAUAAUUAAAUAGAUUAAUUAAAAAAAUAAAGAAAAAAAAUCAAUAGAAAGAAAAAAACUAAUAAAGAAAAAGAAAAAAAAUGAAUUAAUUAGGUUAACCCUUUAAACCAGGUUAUCCCGUAAAACCUGAGAUUCACGUCAUAAAAGUUUGAUAAUUAAAUAGAAAAAAAAAUGACGGGUUUACCCAGAAUUAACUGGGUUAACCUAUCAAAUCAAGUUAACUCGUCAAGCCUAGGAUACGUGUUAUGAAAGUAUGAAAGUCUGAUAAUUAAAUAGAAAGAAAAUUAACUUUAACAAACUAAACUAAAUGAAAAAAAUAACUCGUCAAAUCAAGUUAACCUAUCAAACCCGAGAUCUGUAUUAUGAAAAUCUGAUAACUAAAUAAAAAAAUUAUCAUUAACAAACUAAAUCAAACAAAAAAAUUCAUUAAAAAAAUUAAAAAGAAAAAAAUAGUUAUAUAAUAUAAUAAUAAUAACAAUAAUAAGUAAAUAUAUUAGUAAAAGGCGUGACAUGCCCGCGCGAUGCCGCGGGCUUGUGGCAUGCUUAUACAUUAUCGUGGAUUUGUGAAAAAAAUCAUAUAAAAAAAUACAGUUAUCAUCCACAAUAUUUUAAAGGAAAAAACUACAAAGUUAUAUUCUCAACCAGCUCAAUAUUAAAAAAAACAAAAUCGACAAAAACAAUUAUGAAAAAAAACACACAAAAAAUGAAAACAAGAAGAUGACAAUUUUGGAAGAAAAAAGACAAAAAACAAAUAAUAAAAAAUAGGAAAAAAAACAUGUGGGGAAAGUUAAAGCUAAAUUUUCAACCAGCUUAAUAUUAAAAUCAUUUAAGAAAAUAUUGUAGCAAUUUAUAGUAUUUUGUAAAAAAAUAUAUAACUAUAAUUCUUAAACAGUUCAAUAUUAAAAAAAAAUUAAUAAAAAUAAUUUUGAUGGAAAAUAAUUGGAUGUUGACAAGAAGAAGUAGAAAAUGUGCAAGGAUAACCAAAAGCAGGGAUGAGGAGACAGAGCAGUGUGGGAUGAGAAAUGGCAAAGGUGAAAGUCUGGUGAUGGUCUUUACUGUUGCUAUUGAUCAAUUCUUCAUUACAUUAAAUGAAGGACGAAUUUUUUGCUUUUAGAAGUUGUGAUGUGAGCUUUAAACAAAUUAUAUGUUUGAAAAAAACCUACCAUACCUCCUAAGAAUGUUUUUAGCAGUGUGGUAACUGUUAUUUUUCAAAUAAUUUUUUGUACCGAAAGGUACGUCAAUGAUUUUUUUAUUUUUUAAAAAUUAUUUUUAACCAUAUUAAAUUUUAAUAAAAAAAUAAAAAAAAAAUUUACAUCUUAGAAACACAAGUUGAACCGUGUUUCCAAUCACUGCCUAAGCUGCCGUCCUUGACUAUUAUAUUGAUUAGGCUCCACACGGUCGAGACUUGACUAGCUGUGCUUACAAUAAAGCAAUUCAAUUUUCAAAGAAGGAACAUGGCUGUGAUUUGAAGACAAGAUUUGUCUGCCGGUGUGAACCCAAACUUUUGUUCAAAAUGUGAGCCAAAAUCCAAUCUAAAUUAAUUUAGUAUAUAAAAAAGUUGUAUUUUUUUUUUGUAGUUGUUAUAAUUCUCUCUCAUCAAUUAAAAAAUUUUAAUCUUUAAUAUUGAAUUUUUAGGUUUAAAAAAGGUAAAAAUAACAAGUAAGCAAUUCUUUUUCAUGUUUGGUUUGUUUAUGAAAAAAUUAAGAUUUAUAAAGAUUUGAAGUUUAUGUUUUUAAAAUGAAUUCAUGAUUAUUAUGAAUUUGAGGUUAAGUGAUUAAUUUUGGAUGUGUUGUUAGAAAUAAAAAUUUGUGAAUUAAUUUGUUAAGGGUUAAGAAAUUCGCUUCAACUUUGCUAGAAAAUAUGGACAAAAUAAUUUUGAGGUUGAAGAUAAAGAAAUUGUAUUUUGGUCCUUGAUUUAUAAAAAUUACAGUGUAGUUCCUAAACAUUGAAAAAUUAUAAUUUGACCUGUAACUAUAUUUUGGGAUUCUGAGUGGUAUUAUUAUGAGGUUAAGGAUAAUGACUCUCAGUUUAAUAAUUGAUUUAGGAUAUUUUUAGUCUGGUCCUUUAAUUUUGAAAGUUUACAUUUUAAUCCCUGAACUUUAAAGAAAUUAUAGUUCGGUCCCUGGUUCAUUUCUAGAUAGAAUUGAAAAUGGUUUGUUGGUAAAAUUUCAAUAUGGUUAUGUAUUUACAAUUUGCUUCAAUUUUGGUAAAAUUUUGUUUUGGCUCGUGAUUUCUAAAAAAUGUUGUUUUAGUCCUUAAACUCAUAAGAAUAAACCUGGUUUUAUUUUAUGCAUUGGAAUAUAUUUAUUUGUUGUUUUGGGUUGUUUUUUAGUAUAUUCUGGAUAUUUGUUAUAGGCUCUCCUAACAAUCAUCAAUAAAAUUUUCGGGUUUUUCAUUUGAUAUUCCUUUUAGUUAUAUAUUUUCUAAGUGAGUGAAAUAAUCUUUUUAAUAUUUAUAUAGGUUGCUUUAUUUUCUGAAUACUGAUUUAUUCUUGAAUUUAUACUCGCAUUCUAUUAAACUAAAUUAUAUUCGAUAUGAUAUACAUUUCUUUGAUGAUUCUGCGAAUACCUAGCUGGUAAGAGAGGCAUCAACUUGUUGUGACCGAUCCUCCCACAAUGAUCAUUUUCGGGUGUCAUAUGAUCUUUGACAUAUAUUCAACUACUUUAUAAUAAUAUGCUUAAUAUGUGAUCCUCCACAAUGAUCAUUUCGGGUGUCAUCUGAUCACCUUCGGGUAUCAUCUGAUCUUUGACAUAUAUUCAACUAUUUUAUAAUAAUAUGCUUAGUAUGUAUAUGUUUAUCAAGAUAAAUCAACUUGCAAACUAUUAAUAUCUAAAAUAUAUAUUAAAUAUUAUUCCCUCAAUGAGUUGGUUGCACUCACCUUUUAUUUUUAAUAUUAUUUUAGGUUUUUAGUUUCUGUUAGCAAGUGGCCUUUAUUGAGUAUUCUUGCUUCUUCAAUUUUGAUUGAUAUGUCUUGCUUAUUUUAUAAGACUUUCCUUUUAGUUUUGAUUCGAUGUAUUAGACACUUCAUUAUUACUUUAUUUUAAUUAAGUUUAGAUUUUAACAAUGUAAUAAGUAUUAUGAAUUUUUUUUUUAAUUACUGAUAAGAAGUUUUGAACUAUCAUUUAGUUUUAUUAAUUUUGAAUAAUAUAAUAUUUUUAAAGAUAAUGAAAUGCUAUAAAUUUUUAGAUAACUUAUUCUUUUAAUAUGUUUAUUUUAAAACUUAAUGUAAAUGAAAUAUUCUUUUGACAUCGUUUCUAUAUUAUUAGUCAUGAACUCGGGAUUCAUAACUUGAAUUGCCUUGUUUGUUAGCAAACAUCUUCUUCUCUACUCUCAUUUUUUUUAAUCAAUGGCCAGUGGCCGUCGGUGACCCCAUAUCCAUGUAGCCAAGCUGCGCACUGGCCAGACCCUCGGAAACACCAAUAUCUUCCAGCGCUAGUGAAUGCAAGUUGCCCAAGAUUGUAAUUGCAAGAGCAGAAACAAGUGCAUCAGCCAUGUUUUUAGGGAAUCCAUGAUCGAAGAACAGUGCAUAGUGAACUUUUUUUUCCCCGGAUUUAAUUCAAAUAAAUGUGUUACCUUCCAAUUAAUCUGGUAAUUACAGAAGAAAGAAGGGAUCUUGAAUAACAAGAAGAACAACAGAAGAAAAGAAACAGAGAGAAAGAGAAACUUUUAGUAACAUUCAACACUGGUUUUUUUUUUUUUUUUUUUUUUAACAAAAUCAACAUUCAACUCACACCAUUAAUAUUGUAUAUUUUUUUUUUUGUUAAUCAUAGGUACCCCAUGUUAGCUUUCACAUACCAAACGAAGUCUUUACAACCCGAAAUCAAUUUUUACAUAAGAUUAAAUUGCAUGUUUGAAACGCGGUGAAAAUUAUAUUCUAAAACUUUUAAUUCUUUACUUAAGAUAAAUUUUUUAUAUAUUUUUAUUAUUUUGAUGUAUUUUAUUAAAAAUAAUUUUUUUUAAAAAAAUAAAAAAUUUUAUUUUAAUAUAUUUAUAUACAAAAAAUAUUUUAAAUCACCACCAUUAUUUCAAUUUCAAAAAGAUAAAGCCCUGUGACCCGUGGCCCUAAAAGAUUUAAUGCUAGAAAAAUUCAAACAGGAGAAAGCAAACCUCCAAGCCCAUAACUAAAUACGGCUAGACCAACUCUUUGAGUUUCUAUUUACAUUGUUUGCUUGCUAUUGAUACUUCAUUCAUGGACAGACCGGAGUCCAGCCUGACGUGCAGCAUCACGAACUUCAGGUUUCUCAGUUCGCCUCUUCUGUAUGAGUAUGACCUCCAAAGUAGCACCUACAAUAGACCUUGAGAAAGGCUUUUUUGUAGCACGACGUCUCUUCGUAAAAGUUUCAGCAGCAAUGUCCUGUAAUUAUUAGGAAAGUUGUAUCAAAAUCAACAUCAUGAGUUCUUAUCUAAAGGGAAACUCAUCCUACAAAUAGAAGUUAAUUGGAAACUACAAAAAAAUAGUCACCUUCUUAUGUUGCUUCCUGUACAUUCUGUCCAGGUUAACUUUGAGGGCUUCCACCUGCUGUGGAAGUAUCUCUUGCAUUUAGAGUUGGCAAAGAGGAAGACCUUAAUUGAUUGAAAAAGCACCACUUAUUAGUUUCAUGGAUUGUAUUGCAGAAGAUAUUAAAUAAAAACAAAACACAAUACGCCUUCGACUCCGAACUGCAAAUUACCUGGGAAUCUGAGCGAACGAAUCUGAUGCCCUUGCCAGGAUAUGUCUUCGCCCCACUGAACCGGCAGAGUUCAGUCCUGAAAUCUUCCAGACCAGACAAGUUUGAUGCUCGUCAUGAUAACAUAUUGAAAACCUCAGAUGAGAUCAUUUGCAUAUAAAAAUGCUUCAUUCCAAGACAUAUAAGUUUGAUGGUUAACAAUGGCGUAUCUAAAACCUCGAUGAGGUUAUUCGCACGGUCAUGACGAAUAUUCUCAGAGGUGCAUCAGAUCCUAAAACCCCUUGGCAGAGGUCCAAAAACCCUUUCAAGUGGUCACAGACAGCAGGAAACAAUGAACUCUCGUCCCAACUUCAACUUCAUUGAAGCCUUAGCCAUUCUGUUCUCUUUGCUAUGUUUUCACUAGAAGCAUAUUUAUGGAAGAGAAAUCAUGGAUCUUUGGAACAACAUCUGCAUAAAUCUAAUUCAAACUCUAUCAUUGCAAUCCCUUUUGAAUUUCAUCACUUUUUUUUAAAAAAAAAAGUGCUAAAAAGAAUGUAAAGUUUCUGAGAGUUUUCUUUCUUUUGCCUUGUUAGGAAAUUCUUUAUUAAGAAUGUAUAAAAAAAGAGUAAAUGGAGCUUUGCUUUGUUCUAGAUGAGCAUCCAUGCAUGGUUUAAUAAGUAGAGAAUAAAAUCUUCCAUGAAAGCUUUAGUGUGAUAGACUUGAAUUACAACAAAGAAACUGACAAGCUGAGCACUAGAAAAGAUCAUUCAAGAUCUCAAUUAUGAAGGUUAAAACCAAAGCAUAAAGCAUAUUAUACAUUACAGCAAAAUCUAAUCGAUCAUAGUCCAAGAUCUUACAUUUAUGCUCACCCCCUAUCCUUGUGCAUAAAAACAAAAAAACAAAAUUAGGUUUAAAAGCUACUAUUUAAACUGUAUUACAUAUAUAUAUAUAUAUAUAUAAAAUUUCAUAUCAAAACCAUAUAAAAAAAAUUAAGAUCUUAAAUUUAUGCUCACCCCUAUCCCUAUUUUUUGUAAUCAAGAUUCCUGAAAAGUAUGAUCUCAAAGCUACCUAUGUUUGAGUGAUUUGUACCGUACCAAAAUUUUAAUUCAUGUGCGCUAACUUGAAAAGCAAAUGAUCUGAAAUCAAAAUGGAACACAUGACUAGUGUGAUUAUGGACAUGUUGCAAGAAAAGGUUUUUACUCAAGAAAUUACUCGAAAAAAAGGUGAAAGAUGUUGUUCGGACGUAUAUUAGGAAUUUUAAUGAUUAUCAAUUACAGGUUGAAAGCUUUAGAAAAUAUUAGUUUGGGAAGGUAUGUUCUUCCCAAACUAGCUUUACAAAAUGUUAGACGGAGAAAUAUUGCAUUUGAGCAGGAAAUUGUAGUUUUACACAUAGUUUUAAAACCCGGACCGGCCCGGCGGAUUGACCUGGGACCCGGCCGACCCGGGCAUGGGACCGGUCUGGGUGGAGGUCAAAACCCGCUUGGGAAUUGGUCCGGCCAGACCCGGUCGACCCGAGACCCGGCCGCAAACCCGUUAACUUUUUUUUUUUGUUUUUUUUUGUGUUAAAACGACGUCGUUUUGAUUUUUUAAAAAAAAAUUAAAAAAUAAAUUUUGACCCGGCCGACCCGGUCAAAAUCCGAAACCCAGGCCUUAGACCGGGCCGGGUCUUAAAACUAUAGUUUUACCUUUUCUUACUCUUGUUUCAAGAAAUUUGAAGUACUCUUCUAUUUGUGAAUAAUUUAAUAUUUCUUUAAGUGUAUUUUUUAUUAUUUCAUGUCAAAACCAUAUAAAAAAAAACAAUUAAAAGGGCACAGUUUUGAUAUUUUUAUGGAAAAAAUUAAUUAACAAAAUAUUUUCAAUUAUAUUACUAAACAUGCAUCUAAGCGACAUGACUCACUUGUUUUUGGUUGGUGCAUGUUACAUACGUUAAUGACCAUUAAUAAUUUUUUUUUAUUAUUGAAUUUGUUUUAUUGAAUUUUUUUUAAUUAUAUUAAAAAUAUUAUUAUUAAAGUUUCAAUGUGUUUUCAAUUCUCUUUUCUCUUUCUUGUUGAAGUUUGUAAAACUAUUUUUUAUGUAUUUUUUAAAUAGAUGCACUUUCUAACUAUAAGAAUUUGAAAAAAUCACAAGUGGAAAUUGCUAUUUACAUCAAAUUAGAAUAAUUUUAAAAUAUUUUUCUUUGUGUUAAUUAGCUAUUUAAAAAAACAAAAAAAAUGUGAUUUUAUUUUUAAAAAACUCCCAUCUUAUAGCAUUGGAUUAGGAUAAAGGUGCUUUCAAAAUUUGUGCGUAGAAUAUGUUCUUUCUAAUAUUCCGAUCAAUGACCAUCCAAUGGGUUUCUUGUAACCAUCAUCAAUCCAAUAUUGGAGAUAAGGUUUCCAGAAUCAUAAAGCCCUGCCGUUUUGGCACCUGAUGCCAACAUUAUUGGCCUACAGAAAGACAAUCAAAACUACUAAAGGCCAAUCACCGCCAUGCGAGUAAAGAUAUGUUUCGGAUUGAGUUUUGAAAAUAUUUUUGAAAAAAAAUGAUUUUUUUUUUAAAAAUCAAGGUAAUAUAAUGGGUCAUGUAUACAAAUAAAAUUACUGACAUAACUGAUUUCGUUUGUAAAAUCCAUCAAUAAAUUCAUUUGUAAACUGUUAACUUCUUCCUGACACUGUUUAUCAUGUCAAUUAUAAAGAAAAUCAUUGACAAAAUAUUCUUUUGAUAUUUCUUAGAGAACUUUGCAACUAUUUACUUUCCAAUUGCACUAUUAAUUAUUAUUUUUUAUAGAUAAAAUCACUGACGGAUUGAAAAUUUAUCGGUGUUAUCUGGCGGGUUUCUGAAAAUCUUUUAUUAAAUUAAAUAUUACAGACGAAAUCACCGAUGGAUUGAAAAGUUGUAGGUGAUAUUUGGCGGUUUCUGAAAAUUUUGUAUUAAAUUGAAAAUUUAAAUUAACUAUUACAGACGAAAUAAUUGACGGAAUGAUUAAAAAUAUUAAUAUUUAAUUAUUCAUCUGUAAAACACCCAAUAAAAAGACUAGAAUCCUUUAUUUCACAAUAGACGUGCCUCUUUUUUCUUCUUCUUCUUUUUUUUUUUUUUAAAAAAAAACAUCAACAUCCCUUUCUUUCUCUUCUCUCCUCAACUCCUUAUUUAUUUAUUUAAACGCUGCUUUUCAUUUUUAUUUUAAUGCUAUGUUUGUUUAUGAAGUUGCAUCUGUGUUUGAAGCAAAACACAGGAGUAACAUAUUUGAUAAUAAAAAAAACAUCAUUUACUGUUUAUGGGCCCCAUUGUUAUCCACCUUUGCAACGCAGAAUGAGACAAAGUAGCUCUUCGCUGCUUUUGUGGAGAGUGAAAAGUGGAGGGUGACUCCACUAUUCCGGUUGGAAUGGGUCCAAUUCAAAGCUAAAAAUGCAUUGAACCGGAUCCGAUCCAGUAAAAUAAAAAAAUCAUUUUUUUUAUUUUUAAUUGUGUUUUAUUAAAAAAAAAUUAGUGUUUUAACAUUAUUCAAUGACAUUAUAUAAAUUAUACGGGGAUUGCUUAAUGACGUAAUAUUUGUAGAAUUUGAUCAUAAUCCUAAUUUUAUUCAUGAUGUUGUUGUGCGCUUAAGAAACCAAGAAAACUGUAGUCAUUGUUGAAUGUAUUUCAUAUGUAAUGGAAUUGUAGAUAGUUUAAUGGAACAAUAAAAAAUAUUUUAUAUAAAGUAUUAUUUAUUUUAUGAUGUAAUAACAGUAAUUAAAUCUACAAUAUUUAAAUUAAAAACCAUCAAUAGUAAUAUAUAUUUUUUGAAAUUAUUUUAUAAUCUCAAUUUGAAAAGCAUUCUUAACCAAAUACAUUAAACUAUUUUUUAGUUCAACUUUAAUUUUAACCAAACAUAUAUAAAUAUCAAACCAACCUUAACUAAAAAUACUUUUUAUAAAAUACAUUUUUCAAACCACAACCAUAAAAGCUACCACAAUACCAAACACACUCCAGGUGUGUUUAUUUCUUGGAAAGUGGUUUCCCAGAAAUCACUUUCCAAACUUUCAUGUAUUUAUUUGCCAUUAUGAAAGUUGAUCAACAGAAAACACUUUCCAGUCAAAGAAAAAUUUGGCUUGGUUUCCAGGAAAGUGUUUUCCUUUUAUUUUGGGCGAAAAACACUUUCCGGAAGUUGUGAAAAAUUUAGAAAUGUCAUAUUAUUUGUUGAUUAUAUCAAAUUUGGUCCUCAAACUUUUGAUUGCUAUAUAUAUUUUGUUUUGAAUAUUUGUUUUUCAAUUUCAUCCCUUAGAAUUGAAUUUUUAUAUAAACUUUGGUCCUCAUUUUUAUUUUGCUUUUCCCUUAUUAUUUUUUAAUUGGAAUUUUUUAUCUAUCAAAUCUGGUCCUCAUUCUUUUGAUUGUUAUUUAUUUUAUUUGAAAUAAUUUAUGAAAUGAUAAUUAUUAUUAUUUUAAUUUCUUCAUCUUUUUAUUUUUUUAUUUUUUAGAUUUGAUCUCUAUUAUUUUGAUUAUUAUUUAUUUUAUUUGAGAUAAUUUAUAAAAUUAUAUAUAUUUUUUUAAUUUCAUUCUCAUUCAACUUUUUAAUUUGUAAGAUUUAUUCCUCAUUAUUUUAAUAAAUUUUAAAAAAUAAAAUAUUAAUAAGUUAUUUUCCAGCUCAUUUUCCAUGACAUAACCAAAUACUAAAAAGUAUUUUCUAAUUUAUUUUUCAUGAUACUAUCAAAUAUUGAAAAAUAAUUUAUUUUUCUAAAAUUUAAUUUUUUUUAAAAAAUUUACUUUUCAGUAAAUAAAUAGGAACUUAACUGACACCUCCCAAGUCCUAACGGAUAUCAUGGACCCGUAGGGUAGAUAUUGCCCCUUAGGAUCUUGCUUUCUUCUUCUAAGGCCCGCAUGUUGAUAUUGACCAUCUUGGGCACUUAUGGAACUUGGCCUGGGUUGACAGGUCGACCUGCGACCUGUUUACCCGGGCAUUCAAACUGGAUUGGAAAUUAAUUUUGUUAAACAAAGGUGAUAUGUUCUAUCAAUUCAUAAUUAUCGAUUCGAUUGAUCUAAUUAAUUUUUUUUUAUAUAAAAAACAACUUCGUUUAUUUAUGUUUAUUUAAUUAUUUAUAACUUUUUAUGCCUAAACGAGCCUGGACUUGGAUCGAAUCAGAUGACGAGCCUGGUCUGAUAACUUAGCCUUGAAGUUUAUUCUGUUAGAUCAUUAUUGUUUACUGUGUUAGGCAACAGAUAUCCCUCUAUUCAUACUCAGCUUAAUUUUUCAAUUUUGACUUUUAAAAAUAUGGAGAGAUAUAUGUCAAAUUCCGAUCGGUUCUGAUUUUAAGGAAAAAUAAAAAUUUAUUAAGAAUUCAAAAACAAAUUCAAAAAAUGCUAUUUUUUAUAUAAUUUGAAAAAAUAUAUAUUCUAAACUUUGUUUUAUAAAGCUAAAAAAUUACUAAAAAAUAUAUUUAAUUUAUAUUUAUGUAUACGAUAAUUGUUAAUUUAUUUAAUACUUGUUAAUUUAUUUUUUAACUUUAUUUUAUAAAGCCAACAAUGAUUAAAAAAUAUAUUUAAUUUUUAUUUAUUUAUACUAUACUUGUUAAUUUAUAUAACACUUUUUUAUGUCUUCAUCAAAAUUUUCGUGAAAAAUUAAAUUGAAAAAUCAUGGCUAUGAAAAAUAAACAAUACUCAUUUACUCCCUCAAAUAUGUUUCAUCAGUAAAUCCAUAAUUUUUCUUCGCUGAAUAUCAUUAGAUUUUCAUAAAAAGAUAUGAUUAUAAAGGUGAACAUCUUAGUGAUUUUUUAAAUUUUAUUAUUAUUUUUAGAGUUCUAAAUAAGAUUUUCUUUAAAUUAGAACCAAUAGAAAUCUAACUCGUGUUCUUCCAUAUCUUUAAAAGACAAAAUUAAUGAAAUAUUAGGCUUACUCUGAACAGAGAGAUCUAUACUGCCUAGUAGACAAAAUCAUAGAAACCCAAUUAUAUAAAUUUAAACCAUAAGGAUAUCUUUAUCAAAUAUCAAUAUAUCAGAGAGAUUCAUAGUACCAUUAAACCAAAGUUACACCUAAACUUGUCAUGCAAUAAAACACGUGCAUAUUCAUACAAUAAAAAUAAUAAAUAGACGUAUUUCUCCCUUUCUAUUACAAAGAUCAUUGCAAUACUUAGUAGAUGUAAACGGAAGGGAUGUGAGCUAUCUUAGGCCAGUCUUCUCCUCGCUCCUUCUCGCACCUUUUCUUCAAAUUUGGACAAUUUUCAAUUAUCAAGUCGCUGAGGUUGCUGAGACUCUGUAGCCCUUCUGGCAAACAUACCAAAUUAGGGCAUAUACAGAGUGUUAGAGAUCGGAGAGAAGUAAGAUGUUGGAUACUCUUUGGCAAUGAAUUCAGCUCUGGACAAAGUCUAAGCUCCAAAUCCUCAAGUACUGUCAGAUAUUGCACUCCCUCGGACAGAGACACAAAUUUAUCACAAUUGCUAACAGAUAACUUACGAAGAGAUGAUAAGCCGGACAACCCAUUCAUUGGCAGAGUGUAUAAUCUUGUACAACUAUCUAUCUCUAAAACCUCCAAAGAAGUGAGUUUUCGAAGACCUUCCUCUGGCAAGCUUUCAAGUUCAUCAAAAUGCCGGAUACUCAAGCUUUUAAGAGCUGAAAGGUUGUCAAAUACCUUAUUUGACAAAGACGGCAGAUUUCUCAUCCCAACCAUAUAUAAGAACUCGAGGAGUGUAUGAUUUUGCAAGAACCCAUCUG